UCUCAAAGGAGAUGGCUGGGACGUGAGUGAGCAGGUGGCCCCCUGCCUUCUCCUGGGCCAUGGGCGUGGGAGUCUGCAGGACCAGCCCGUGCGCCGCUUGUUGAUGUCGAAGGGCAACACAAAAGAAGACAAAGGCCAUCAAUUCAAUGCAAAUAUUACUGUAUUAAAGGAAAUUGUUGUAUUAAGCUUGCUUUGAAAACCGUUUGAAUGGCUUGGAUAGGCCUAUGGAGAUGGUGGAAAACAUCCUGAUUAGAAGGGGACGUUUGCGAGGCUUCUCCUGUUGAGAGGUGGAGGGAAGACCCUCUGGGAGUCCAGGAUGUGCCACUAUGUUGGGCGACAGAAGAGAGAGAGUUGACAUGCACUUUCAUUUAGAAAUGAUGUUAUAUUGUAUUCUUAGUUUCAACUCAUUAUUACUUUCACAAAUAAAUGAGAACCAGAAUCUUGA